GACGAACCGAGCGAACGUUGUUCGGAAUCACUGGGCGUAAAGGGCGCGUAGGCGGGAUGGCAAGUCGGUCGUGAAAUCCUUCGGCUCAACCGAAGAACGUCGGCCGAUACUGCCGUUCUUGAGGGAUGCAGAGGAGAUUGGAAUUCCCGGUGUAGCGGUGAAAUGUGUAGAGAUCGGGAGGAACACCGGUGGCGAAGGCGGGUCUCUGGGCAUCUCCUGACGCUGAGGCGCGAAAGCGUGGGGAGCAAACGGG
rnacentral:rRNA from 1 species